AAGGAAUCAUGCUGUAUCCAUAUGUUUAAUAUCAAUGGCUUAUUYCAAGGCGAAACGAGAUAUUUUUCAUCCAUGAUAAUUGAUAUUAACCGUUUUGUUUUCUAGUGAUAUAAACCAUUUUUAUUUACUGUCUGGCGCGACCUUUUUUUUUCUAGUGAUAUAAACCGUUUUUAUUUACUGUCUGGUGCGACCUUUUUUUUUCCAGUGAUAUAAACCGUUUUUAUUCACUGUCUGGUAAGUGUUCAACGCGUUAAAUUGAGAUUUUGUUAUCAACGCGUUCGUAAUCUAACUCCUAGAAGACUGCUCAUCACGCCGCUCUCGCUUACAGCUAGUUUGCGCACCAGAGCAAUUCUCCAUCGUCCCAAAACCCAGUAUCUCAAUCAUUACUCAACGCUUUACGACUUACAACCAUAGACAUAGACCAUUUGCUAAUAGACGGGUCGUAUAAGACCGGUGGUUUGAAUGGUGCGGUGACAACAGAUUUUGUUACAGUGAUGUAUUAUUACAAUAAAUCAAUAUAACAAAACGGUUGAAAUUAAAAAGCAGACCAGUUAUAAUAUCAUUUCAUCAAUAACAAUGCCGAAUAAUAAAUCAAUUACUCAUGAAGAACCUAUACCUGAGAGACUUCAUAGAAACACGAAUUAUAGAAAAAAAAGAAAUUCAACAAUACCAAAAAGUGUCGAGAUGAAUACAGUAGCUGAGGUAACUGAACCAUUGGAUUGUGUGUCAUCUGUCAAUGAUUCUAAAUCACUAAUAAAUUCACCACUAAAUUCUCCAUUAAUUCAGGAAACAUUAGAAACAUGUUAUCUUUGUUCAGCAGUUUCAGAAAUGACCGAUCAAUUUGAUUGUCCCAUAUGUUUUACUAAAGUCCAUAAACACUGCUUAUUAGUCGAUGAGCCUGUAUGGAAAUACAAACUCGAUGAUGGUCCUUGGUUCUGUAAAGAAUGCAGRAAACAAUAUUGUAACAUAUGUCUCAACAAUGAAUCUCAGUCGAAAAUUGAUCGCCGCUGCAUAACUUGUGAUGUUGGUUCACAUACCAAUUGUUAUGAAUCCUAUGAUAUUAAAACAAUGCAAUGCUUACAAAAAGAUAUAUAUGUAUGUACUCCUUGCAUGACUUUGGCUACUCAAAUAAACUCAGAAGAAGAAGAAGAAGAAGAAGAAGAAGAAGAAGCAAAAUAUGAUAAUAUUGAAGAUGAUGUUGAGCCUAAGCCAGACACCUCGUCAAUAGUGUAUGGUUCAUCUAAUAAAAAUGACAAUGAUUCAGAAAGAAGUUGAUCCCAUAGUCAAUCGGACUUUAUAAAUUAUGAUAAAUAUCCUAGUAUUAAUGUCGAAAUAUAUCAAAAUGGACAAAAGCUGAGGAUCUCAAUAGCAGCCCUGUUCUACUGUUACUUACUAGAGCUGAUAUUGUAUCAAACAAAAUGGGUUUGAAACUUGGUCAUACUUUGGAAUUCUACAAAGAAGUUUGAAUCUUACAAACUCAAU